GGCAUGAAUAUAUCCCAUGGGCGCAGCCUGAUGCAGCCAUGCCGCGUGUAUGAAGAAGGCCUUCGGGUUGUAAAGUACUUUCAGCGGGGAGGAAGGGAGUAAAGUUAAUACCUUUGCUCAUUGACGUUACCCGCAGAAGAAGCACCGGCUAACUCCGUGCCAGCAGCCGCGGUAAUU
rnacentral:rRNA from 1 species